GCCAUUGCUCCAAAAUAGCCGGGUUAAUAUUUGCAGAGUGGUUCAGCUCCUUUCUCUCUCCUGCCUCUCAAAAAGAUGCUAUUCCUGUGAUUAAAACCAUUACAGUGCUUCAAAGGUUAUACAUGACUUUCAGGCUUCAACCUCAAUAGAAGCAGAUGGUACUAAUUUGAACACAUCAUUCCAUGCUUCCUGGAGUAAUCACACAGCUUGCUUAGAUUUUCUAAACAUGACUGAACUGUGAUGAAGCGAUCAACAUUAACUGCCAAGACUCCACAUAGCAAUGAUGUGCUGGCCACCCACUGGGAAAACACCUGUCACCCCUUGAUGGACCUUUCUGACACUGUUUGCCUGUCCUCAAAAGUUCCUGAAAUAUUUACCAGUCAGCAUCUUGGAAAAAACAAAUAAUGGGGCCUUCUCAGAGUGAGGAAGCUUCCUGGAGGGUCAUCAGGACACUACAGAAGAGCUAAUCCAACAUGGAUCUCUAAAACUAUGCAAUUAAGACGAGUGUGGUGGCUCACACCUGUAAUGCCGGCACUUCGGGAGACCAAGGCGGUUGGAUCACUUGAGACCAGGAGUUUAAGGUCAGCCUGGGCAACAUGGCAAAACCCUGUCUCCACUAAAAAUAAAAAAAUUAGCCCUGCGUGGUGGGCAGACCUGUGGUCCCAGCUUUCAGGAGGCUGAGGCACGAGAAUUGCUUGAGCUCAGGAGGCGGAGGCUGAAGUGAGCCAAUAUCGGCAACUGCACUCCAGCCUGGGCAACAGAGCAAGACUGUGUCUCAAAAAAAUAAAUAAAAUAAAAUAAAUAAAAUAAAAUAAAGCUAUGCUAUUAGCUCAAGUAAUCUAAUUGCAUUACAUCAAUUUUAAAAAUUAUUUUCAAAAAUGUAUUUCAAUGUUAUCUGCUACCUUGCAUCACUACCUUCUUGCCCUGAUUUUCACAGCAAAAUCUUGUACAUAAGUAUCUACCAACUGUAAAAAAAAAGCCUCAGAUUAUGUUCCAUAGAUAAUGCAGAAUCAAGGCAAUUACCUGGAAAUGGAUAUCAAAAAUAAAUUUUUAUCUCAAAUAGAUAUUUUAGUAAAAAGAAGCUUGUUGUUAUAAAUUAUGUUAAUAAAAACAUAGUAGUUCACUUCAGUUUGCAUAUAUAUAGUUUCAACAUCUAGCUUGGUUUACUCCCAAGAGACAAAAUUAAGCUAAAAAAAUUUUUUUCAGAUGCCUCAUCUGUUUAGGGUUUAUUUUUCUUUUGCAGUUUAGGAUUGUGGCUGAUAUUUUAAUAAAUAAGUUAGAAAAAUAGGGUAGCAUGAAUAUUAAUUAAAACAAUUCAGAAUAUAUCAAAUAUGUAAGAGGUUAUUUGCUAUAAAACUGAUAACUAAAAGAAAGAGAAAGGAGACAGAAUUGAACUGUCACCAAGGCUCGAACUCCAUUUUCCUAGUAGCUGUUACCGAAUUGCAGAUAACACAUAAAUCUCUGUGCUGAAGUGUGAGCUCUCUAAUCAAAGGAGCAAUCUUCUGAGCAAUCCUGAAGCUCAAAGUGUUCACUCCCUUUGAGCAAACCCUGUGUAGGAAAUUCGUAUGUAGGAAAUUCAUUUUUGACACUGCUAUAAUAAGUUGUUACUCUUGCUUUCAGCUGGCUUAGUUUUAAAAUCUGUUUUAUUCUUAUUAGCUUAAAAAUAUUAUAAUUAUUAUGUGUUCCAUUAUGUUUUAUUUUCAUUUAUAAAAAAGCAUAUGUUCUAUAUCCUGAUUUUUUUCUCUUAUCAUGUUAACACCAAUGAUCUAUAUCAUAAUGUUUUUGUAGUUGCAUAAUUUGGAUAUAUCAUAGUUAUUUAGUCAUUCUAUGAGUUAACUUUCAGGCUUUUUCUCUUUUUUAUUUCUUUAGCUAUUAUUAACAAUGAUGCCAUAGUUAUCCUUAAAGAAGUAUCUUUUCAUAAUAGUACUUUUAUUUCUACAUAUUAAAUUGUGAUUCCUUUUAAACUUCUUUAAAUUUAAAUAUAUAUAUUUUUUAGCGACAAGGUCUUGUUAUGUUGCCUAGGCUGGACUUGAAUCCUGGGCUCAAGGUAACCUACCACCUUAGCCUUCCUUCAGAGUAGCUGGUACUACAGGCAUGCAACCCUACACCAGGAUACAAAUUGUGUGUUUCUUGAGUCAAAUGGUUUGAAUGCUUUUUAAAAUUUUAAGAUUACUACUCCAAAAUGAUUACUGUAUCAAAUUUUAAGUUAUAAUAAUUAUAAUUAUUUAGAAUCAUACCACCAAUGUGUGAGAGUACCCAUUUUGACAAACUCACAUAAAUCUCUGGAUAUUAUAAAUAUAGUUAGAUUUUAGUAGAUUUUUAGUUAGAUUUUAGUUAGCCAUUCCUGGCUGUGAGUGAGACAGAAUGUCUUCUUACAUGUUUGUUCGUCAUUUGUGAUCCAUUAAAACAAAUAAUCACAAAAAUAAACUUAUUUAUGGUUUUUUAUAUUUCAUUUUAGUCUUUUAAAUGAAAAACAUUAUUAGUCUGAGCUCUUUAGACACCAUUCGUUAGACAGUGCAAGCAAAGUUAACUUUCACACCUUCUGAAUUUAGAGAUGAUAUGUACAAAAUCAAUAUUCAACAAAAUCCAACAAAAUGUAAUUAGCAUCUACUUUGUGUCGGGCACUACUUUAGGCAUAAAUAUGAGUAAGAUACAGCCCCUAUCCUCAAAAUAGAGAGAUAAAGCAGUAAAUAAUUCUAAAACAAUUUGCUAAUGACAAUGUGACUUCCUUAAGGACAAGGACAAUAACUUUUUCCCUUAGUAGCUAAAAGUAAAGAACAAAGAAAGAAAUGAGCAAAGAAAUUAGUUGUGACCACAGUAUAAAAAAAGAGAAUAAGGCAUGGCCCCAGAGAUCCAGGAAAUUAUUCACUAGAAAGCCAGUUUGUAAAGUUUGAGAGUAGGAUAGGGAGUUGAGGGAGGUGGGAGAAGAAGAGAGGAGGCCUACAGGACAAAGCAGGUCUAACUCUUACAUAUCCAAAGUCAUAAACUGUGUACAAAGUGAGGGAAUAUAAAUGUUACACAAUAAUUAUUAUCUAAAAUAUAUUACUUUUCAACACUGGCCAAAUCUCCCAACCCAGUGACUGUUUUCAAACUGAGAUGAAACUUGAGGGAAGUCCUCAGUAAAAUGAUUUUACUUAUUUAACUCUAAACCUAUUUUUGAAUAGGUUUCGAAGCUUUUUCUAAUUUAGGAAAUGAAAAAAAAAUUUAAUUACUUUGAAAUUAUUCUGUAAAAAUACAAGAUGUAGUUGUUCUGUCUUUACUCAUGGGUAACGCCA
rnacentral:lncRNA from 10 species